ensembl:lncRNA
GGGGGGGUGGUGCGUGGUAAAUAAAUGUCCAGUGAUAGGUUGAGUGUUUCUUUGACAGCUUGCCUUGUCUUUUUUGGCUACAGCAAUUACUGCGACGUCACUGUGCCAUUUUAAAAAUCAACAGUUAUCAUUUUAUUUUAAAAUGCCCAACAGAAUUACAGCGGUACACCUUGUUAAGUCACUCAUUUAAUCACUUAUUUAAAUCAACGCUUUAAAGAACUGCGUGGCUUCAGCAAUAAUUUAACUUCAUCUCAAUGUAGCGAGCUAUUGAUUUCAGAUGUUCUUUGGAUGAUGGUCGUUCCCCACAUGAGAUUUCGAACUUACAAAGAUGAAAGUGUUUAUUGAUUAGAAAAUUAUUGGGACAAGAUGUUAACAGCACAGAGGCAAUCGAAUUAAACCCUCAGCCUCUCCGUGAGGAGCUGCUGUGUGUGUGUGGAGGAGCUGCUCUUAAGGCCCAGCACGCCCCUGGAUGUGGCACUUACAUUACAGAGAGCACUCUAUAAAAAUAAACUGUAUGUGGAGGAAAGGAGGCAGAGGAAGAAGUCAGACAAGGUGGGUUUGUGCACUGCUUUCCACUUACACGUCCUGUGCCUGUGCUGCAGGUGCAGAAGGGCUGGAAGGCACAGCCAGCUUUCCUCAGGUGACUGCAGGGCACAGAGCACCGAGGAGCUGUCUCUUUUGGUGUGUUGGCUUUCAUGGAAGGGUCUUUUGUGUGGCUACUGGCUAUGGCUAGCUGUUAGAGGACUCCCAAGUGACUGAAACAGGAGCAGCAGCCGCUGUUCAGUGGGGCGGGCACCUUCCAGAAAGGCCGAUUAAUUUUAUCGCCUCGCCUCACCUCAGCUUGUCCCAGGACCCGGAGGCUCCCUGGACCGGCCCCAUUCUGUCUAACAGCGAACCUUCGGCGUCACUUCUGUGAGCAGACUGCACACAGAAUGGAAAAACACCGCGUCCGUUCGCUUACAACGGCGGCCGGAGAGUCCCCUGACCGCUUCUGUGCGGGACCGGCAGCGGCGGGAGAAGUCCCGGCCCCUCCUCCCCACAGCACCG